GACGAACGCUGGCGGCGUGCUUAACACAUGCCAGUCGAACGGAAAGGCCCUGCUUGCAGGGUACUCGAGUGGCGAACGGGUGAGUAACACGUGGGUGAUCUGCCCUGCACUUCGGGAUAAGCCUGGGAAACUGGGUCUAAUACCGGAUAGGAGCCAUUUUUAGUGUGAUGGUUGGAAAGUUUUUUCGGUGUAGGAUGAGCUCGCGGCCUAUCAGCUUGUUGGUGGGGUAAUGGCCUACCAAGGCGGCGACGGGUAGCCGGCCUGAGAGGGUGGACGGCCACAUUAGGACUGAGAUACGGACCAGACUCCUACGGGAGGCAGCAGUGGGAAGUAUUGCACAAUGGGCGCAAGCCUGAUGCAGCGACGCCGCGUGGGGGAUGACGGCCUUCGGGUUGUAAACUCCUUUCGCUAGGGACGAAGCUGUUUGUGACGGUACCUAGAUAAGAAGCACCGGCUAACUACGUG
rnacentral:rRNA from 1 species